AGGGGGGUGGGUGUUGAGGGAGUCUGGGCAGUCCGUGGGGAACCCCCUUUUUCGGUUCGGACUUGGGUAGCGAUCGAGGGAUGGUAUCGGAUAUCGGCACGAGGAAUGACCGACCGUCCGGCCGCCGGGAUUUUCGCCGGAAAACUUUUCCGGCGACUUUUCCGGCGAUCGGUUUUGUUGCCUUUUUUCGAGUUUUCUCAGCAGUUCUCGGACAAAAACUGCUGAAUCGUCGAGGAGAAUGGGCUUGCCUUGCGUGGGCUGCCAUUAGUUCUUCGAGGCGUUAGGGUGGCGGCGGUAUAAAAGUGUCGGAGUUUUUUCAGCAGUUCUCGGACAAAAAUUGCUGAGUGGCCGAGAAGAAUGGGCGUGUCAUGCGUGGGCUGACAUGGAUUCUUCGAGGCCUAGGGGUGGCGGUAUAUAACUUGUUCGCAUGAUAUUACCGAGAUGUCCCCACGGGCAUCUUUUCACCUCGUCGCCGAAGAGAAUGGGCGUGUCAUGGCAUGGGCUGACAUGGAUUCUCCUAGGCCGUUUGGGUGGCGGUAUAGUCGUCUUGCGCACGAAAUACCGAGAUGUCCCCAUGGGCAUCGAUUCCACCCGCCUAGGUUGGAUGGGCGUGCUUCGUUGGAAAGCAUGGAUCCGCCUAGGCUGUCCCGAGUGUGAGCGAGGUGUGAGUGUCGCCCAUGGGCAUCGACACCUUGCGGCUAGGAACUGGAACGAGACGGGUGGCAAAGAUUUCGAGUAGCACUUCAUACUACCGUGGGUUUUUUAAACCUUCCGAGUUUUGUUGAUGUUAUUCCGAGAAUUAGCAAACCGUAACGAAGAUGUUCUUGGCAACCAUCUUUUGAUGGGAGUCCGGCUGUUCGAUAGCCGGCCAAGGGUGAUGAACGAAAUGUGAACCCUUGUCUCGCCUAGGUUGGAUGGGCGUGCUUCGUUGGAAAGCAUGGAUCCGCCUAGGCUGUCCCGAGUGUGAGCGAGGUGUGAGUGUCGCCCAUGGGCAUCGACACCUUGCGGCUAGGAACUGGAACGAGACGGGUGGCAAAGAUUUCGAGUAGCACUUCAUACUACCGUGGGUUUUUUAAACCUUCCGAGUUUUGUUGAUGUUAUUCCGAGAAUUAGCAAACCGUAACGAAGAUGUUCUUGGCAACCAUCUUUUGAUGGGAGUCCGGCUGUUCGAUAGCCGGCCAAGGGUGAUGAACGAAAUGUGAACCCUUGUCUCGCCUAGGUUGGAUGGGCGUGCUUCGUUGGAAAGCAUGGAUCCGCCUAGGCUGUCCCGAGUGUGAGCGAGGUGUGAGUGUCGCCCAUGGGCAUCGACACCUUGCGGCUAGGAACUGGAACGAGACGGGUGGCAAAGAUUUCGAGUAGCACUUCAUACUACCGUGGGUUUUUUAAACCUUCCGAGUUUUGUUGAUGUUAUUCCGAGAAUUAGCAAACCGUAACGAAGAUGUUCUUGGCAACCAUCGUUUGAUGGGAGUCCGGCUGUUCGAAAGCCGGCCAAGGGUGAUGAACGAAAUGUGAACCCUUGUCUCGCCUAGGUUGGAUGGGCGUGCUUCGUUGGAAAGCAUGGAUCCGCCUAGGCUGUCCCGAAGGUAUCUCGCGCUUGUACGGCUUUGGCUCGGAUUCGUCCGUCUUCUUUCUUCUUAGCCGAGUACUUCGGUAGAUUAGUUGGAACGAUUGAUGAUUUUGAGUUAAUUGAACGUUCGGCGUAUGAGUGGUGAUCGGAUAGCUAGUGUUCGUAGGCUCCAUGCUCGCGCAUCGAACUACCUACCACCUAUCCUUCUCAGUUAAUUCACGGGCGAUGUUACGCUCGAUGAUGAGUUCCGGGGCCUGUGUUUCGUACCUA
rnacentral:misc_RNA from 1 species